rnacentral:rRNA from 1 species
UACGUAGGGUGCAAGCGUUGUCCGGAAUUAUUGGGCGUAAAGAGCUCGUAGGCGGUUCGUCGCGUCGGCUGUGAAAACCCGGAGCUCAACUCCGGGCCUGCAGUCGAUACGGGCGGACUUGAGUGUUGCAGGGGAGACUGGAAUUCCUGGUGUAGCGGUGAAAUGCGCAGAUAUCAGGAGGAACACCCGUGGCGAAGGCGGCCAGCUGGGCCGUCCCUGACGCUGAGGCGCGAAGGCGUGGGGAGCGAACGGG